rnacentral:lncRNA from 1 species
AAACUUUUGGGAUCCCUUAACAGCUAAGCAAUUAGAGAAUUGAUAAAUGUAGAAGAGGUGCCACAUAGUUUGGUAACAGUGUAUUGUUCUAUCAGGUAAUGGUUACGACCCAUAAGCCGAAACAAGUCUCCAAAUCUGAGGGUCUUGUUUCCUACUACGCUCAAUUUAAGCUACACUUGUCUAAACAAGCCUGUCAACUUCCAGCUUGAGGCUGGUGGAGCACCAAUGGAUCUAAAUAUAAGGUUUUAGUUAAAACUUAAAUUCUUUCACUGGAGGUUAAGAAGGGGGAAGAAAUGCUCAUCUCAGGUCCUCUCAAACAAGGUAAAUUCCCCAAAACUGUAAAAGCACCACAAUUACCAAUGUUUCCAAAAAAGCUAAACUUGACACUGACAUUCCUUUUACUAUAUUGGAGGGUAAAUCCCUUAUUUUUAUAAUUUCUUACUUAACCUCUCCAAGUUAUGUUUAGUAUUUACAUAUUAUAAAUUCUGGUGUGUAAAUCAUGUUUGUAACUGCUGGCUCCUAUUCCAGGUCAUAUUUACAGUUUUGUUUGAUCUGCACAGGGAAAGGGGGCAAAGGAC